GACGAACGCUGGCGGCGUGCCUAAUACAUGCAAGUAGAACGCUGAAGAGAGGAGCCUGCUCUUCUUGGAUGAGUUGCGAACGGGUGAGUAACGCGUAGGUAACCUGCCUUGUAGCGGGGGAUAACUAUUGGAAACGAUAGCUAAUACCGCAUAACAAUGGAUGACACAUGUCAUUUAUUUGAAAGGGGCAAUUGCUCCACUACAAGAUGGACCUGCGUUGUAUUAGCUAGUAGGUGAGGUAAUGGCUCACCUAGGCGACGAUACAUAGCCGACCUGAGGGGGUGAUCGGCCCCACGGGGACUGGAACACGGCCAGGACUACUACGGGAGGAAGAAGUGGGGAAUCUUCGGCAAUGGGGGCAACCCUGACCGAGCAACGCCGGGUGGGUGAAGAAGGUUUUCGGAUCGUAAAGCUCUUUUGUAAGUCAAGAAGGGGUGUGAGAGGGGAAAGUUCACCCUGGGGGGGGAGUUAACCAGAAAGGGAGGGCGAACUACGG
rnacentral:rRNA from 1 species